AUUGAACGCUGGCGGCAGGCCUAACACAUGCAAGUCGAACGAGUGGCGGACGGGUGAGUAAUGUCUGGGAAACUGCCCGAUGGAGGGGGAUAACUACUGGAAACGGUAGCUAAUACCGCAUACCAUCGGAUGUGCCCAGAUUGGAUUAGCUAGUAGGUGGGGUAACGGCACACCUAGGCGACGAUCCCUAGAUGGUCUGAGAGGAUGACCAUCCACACUGGAAUGGAGACACGGUCCAGACUCCUACGGGAGGCAGCAGGGGGGAAUAUUGCACAAUGGGCGCAAGCCUGAUGCAGCCAUGCCGCGUGUGUGAAGAAGGCCUUCGGGUUGUAAAGCACUGUCAGCGAGGAGGCGUUACUCGCAGAAGAAGCACCGGCUAACUCCGUGCCAGCCGCCGCGGUAAUAC
rnacentral:rRNA from 1 species